rnacentral:rRNA from 1 species
UACGUAGGGGGCAAGCGUUGUCCGGAAUUAUUGGGCGUAAAGAGCGUGUAGGCGGUCCGGUAAGUCAGCUGUGAAAGUCAAGGGCUCAACCCUUGAAAGCCGGUUGAUACUGUCGGGCUAGAGUCCGGAAGAGGCGAGUGGAAUUCCUGGUGUAGCGGUGAAAUGCGCAGAUAUCAGGAGGAACACCAAUGGCGAAGGCAGCUCUCUGGGACGGUACUGACGCUGAGACGCGAAAGCGUGGGGAGCGAACAGG